rnacentral:lncRNA from 1 species
GUUUGAAAAAGCCAUUAUCUUUAUAGCCAAAGAGACAGCUUGAUAUUCUUAUUACACUUAGAAAGUUAUUUGGUUUAGUUUGAAUUAAAAAUUUUUAGGAUAGUUUAGGACAUGUGUACAGAGCCAAGGAUCUGGAGAUGGCAUUUAUCUCAGAAAUAGAGUAGCAGGGAUGUCUGUUUUGUUGGUAUGUUUUUUCCUGCCUGUGUCACUCAUCCUGACCCUGCAGAGACAAGUCCCUGUGAGUGGCAGGUGUUUCCGGGAUGCGGCCCUGGACAUAAGGAAGUAGACUCAAAGCUGGCUAGUUCUUAGAACAGCUGUAGGUGACUGUUGCCCCUUGUGCCAUGGCAGCUGGGACAGAGAGCCUUUUGUCAUUUUCUGUCCCAUCCAUCAUGUUUAAUAUGUAGAAGCAAGCUGCUUUUACAAUUUGACAAAAUAAAGUUUUGAUCCUGAAUUUCCUUUUCAUUGAAACACAGCUUUCAGUCUGUUAAGUGAGAUAGCUUCUUAAGGAUACAACUGAAAACAACAGGGAGCGAUCCCAGCUAAGAUUCAAAGUGUUUUAAACGUUAUUUAAUUCUUGUUUGAGUUCUUUAUUUCACACUCCCUCACCCUCAUUUACUUCAUUUGUAGUCAUUUCUUGAAUAGUUAAACUGAAAUCAAAGUUUGGCCCCAGAUGAGAUCAUGGACUUAAGAAUAGGUCUUCCUAAAUU